AUGAAACACUCCUACGGGAGGCAGCAGUGGGGAAUUUUGGACAAUGGGGGCAACCCUGAUCCAGCAAUGCCGCGUGAGUGAAGAAGGCCUUCGGGUUGUAAAGCUCUUUUGUCAGGGAAGAAACGGUAGUAGCUAAUAUCUAUUACUAAUGACGUUACCGACAGAAUAAGCACCGGCUAACUCUGUGCCAGCAGCCGCGGUAAUACAGAGGGUGCAAGCGUUAAUCGGAAUUACUGGGCGUAAAGCGCGCGUAGGUGGUUUGUUAAGUUGGAUGUGAAAGCCCCGGGCUCAACCUGGGAACUGCAUCCAAAACUGGCAAGCUAGAGUACGGUAGAGGGUGGUGGAAUUUCCUGUGUAGCGGUGAAAUGCGUAGAUAUAGGAAGGAACACCAGUGGCGAAGGCGACCACCUGGACUGAUACUGACACUGAGGUGCGAAAGCGUGGGGAGCAAACAGGAUUAGAUACCCGAGUAGUCCGAAGUUC
rnacentral:rRNA from 1 species